CAGCCUUUGACAUGUCCGGUGUGGGGAGUGGAGACAUUCCUCUUCAGUUCGGCUGGCCGGAACACAGGUGCUGCAUGGCUGUCGUCAGCUCGUGUCGUGAGAUGUUGGGCUAAGUCCCGCAACGAGCGCAACCCUCGCCCCUAGUUGCCAUCAUUGAGUUGGGCACUCUAGGGGGACUGCCGGUGAUAAGCCGCGAGGAAGGUGGGGAUGACGUCAAGUCCUCAUGGCCCUUACGGGCUGGGCUACACACGUGCUACAAUGGCAGAUACAAACCGUCGCGAUCCCGCGAGGGGGAGCUAAUCGGAUAAAGUCUGUCUCAGUUCGGAUUGUAGGCUGCAACUCGCCUGCAUGAAGCUGGAAUCGCUAGUAAUCGCGGAUCAGCACGCCGCGGUGAAUACGUUCCCGGGCCUUGUACACACCGCCCGUCACAUCACGAAAGCUGGCUGUACUAGAAGUCGCUGCGCCAACCCGCAAGGGAGGCAAGCGCCUAAGGUAUGGUCGGUGAUUGGGGUG
rnacentral:rRNA from 1 species